rnacentral:ncRNA from 2 species
AAUACAUGCUAGGGGUGCCUAACGGCUGAGAGGAGAUCAACUCCAACCCUUGAACCUGAUGUGGCUAAUACCACCGUAGGGAAGCUUUCAUGUGUUUAC